rnacentral:lncRNA from 1 species
AAUGGAAGCAGUGCCAAGCCGAUAAGAUGAAAAAGAAAGAGUGGGAACAGGCAACUACAACUACCUGUAUAUUGACUACCCAUUUACUAUAUCGCUAUUGGGAGUACCUAUUGCUUAUAACCGUUAGCUUGGCCCUGUUACUGUUCCUGUUCGAAAGUCAAGAGUGAGAGUUAGUUCUAGUCGGGUGCUCAAACAUGAGAUUAGAGGUCAGGUGCUCAAACAUUAGAUUAGAGG